AUUGAACGCUGGCGGCAGGCCUAACACAUGCAAGUCGAGCGGAGCGGCGGACGGGUGAGUAAUGCCUAGGAAUCUGCCUGGUAGUGGGGGAUAACGUCGGGAAACGGGCGCUAUGACCGCAUACGUUCAGAGGGGCCUAGGUCGGAUUUGCUAGUUGGUGGGGGAAAGGCCUACCAAGGCGACGAUCCGAAACUGGUCUGAGAGGAUGAUCAGUAACACUGGGACUGAGACACGGUCCAGACUCCUACGGGAGGCAGCAGUGGGGAAUAUUGGACAAUGGGCGAAAGCCUGAUCCAGCCAUGCCGCGUGUGUGAAGAAGGUUUUCGGAUUGUAAAGCACUUUAAGUUGGGAGGCGUUACCAACAGAAUAAGCACCGGCUAACUUCGUGCCAGCAGCCGCGGUAAUUC
rnacentral:rRNA from 1 species